rnacentral:rRNA from 1 species
GUGGGGAAUCUUAGACAAUGGGGGAAACCCUGAUCUAGCCAUGCCGCGUGAGCGAUGAAGGCCUUAGGGUUGUAAAGCUCUUUCAGCUGGGAAGAUAAUGACGGUACCAGCAGAAGAAGCCCCGGCUAACUCCGUGCCAGCAGCCGCGGUAAUACGGAGGGGGCUAGCGUUGUUCGGAAUUACUGGGCGUAAAGCGCGCGUAGGCGGACCAGAAAGUUGGAGGUGAUAUCCCAGGGCUCAACCUUGGAACUGCCUUCAAAACUCCUGGUCUGGAGUUCGAGAGAGGUGAGUGGAAUUCCGAGUGUAGAGGUGAAAUUCGUAGAUAUUCGGAGGAACACCAGUGGCGAAGGCGGCUCACUGGCUCGAUGCUGACGCUGAGGUGCGAAAGCGUGGGGAGCAAACAGGAGUAGAUAACCCUGUAGUCC